rnacentral:rRNA from 1 species
CGGCGGACGGGUGAGUAACGCGUGGGUAACCUGCCUCAUACAGGGGGAUAACAGUUGGAAACGGCUGCUAAUACCGCAUAAGCGCACAGUACCGCAUGGUACGGUGUGAAAAACUCCGGUGGUAUGAGAUGGACCCGCGUCUGAUUAGGUAGUCGGUGGGGUAACGGCCCACCAAGCCGACGAUCAGUAGCCGACCUGAGAGGGUGACCGGCCACAUUGGGACUGAGACACGGCCCAA